rnacentral:tRNA from 2 species
GCUCCUAUGGCUCAGUGGUAGAGCGUGUCACUAGUAAUGACAAAGUCCUCGGUUCGAUCCCGAGUAGGAGCA